ACUCCGUGACACUAUGCUUGCUUGGAUUGGGAACCAUGGCCACCACUGCUUCUUCCCUCUUUUCUCUGCCUACAACAACUCCUAAACCUCACAAAACAACAACUCUUUUUUCAUGCCCUAAUUUCCUUAAACCGAAAUUCACCCUCAAAUUCCCCAGAUUGGGGGUUUCUUGUUCAAAAGAAAAGAAAAGGGGUCAAAAAAGGUGUCCCCUUUUGUGAUUUCUUGCUUGGUUGAUGAUAAUUUGAAUGCAGAAGGGUCUUUUGGUGAUGCUGAAUCAAACCCUAGAGCAACUAUUGACCUCAAACUCCCGAGAAGAAGCUUGUUAGUGCAAUUUACGUGCAAUGCUUGUGGCGUAAGAUCACAAAAGCUCAUAAACCGACUAGCUUAUGAAAAAGGGAUGGUUUUUGUUCAGUGUACUGGAUGUGAACAGUAUCACAAACUUGUUGACAAUCUAAAUCUUGUGGUGGAGUACGACUUUCGGGAGGAAAUCAAUGCGAGUCCGGAUGCAGAUCAA